GCCUGGGAAUUGAGAUAAAAGAGACUCGGUAGCUUUCCUCCAAGUACCUACUUUUUAAAUUUAUUUUUUAUUUUUUAUUUUAUUUAUUUAUUUAUUUAUUUAUUUAGCUGCAAAAAGCUUUAUUUUCAUUUGGUCCAUGGCUUGGGAAAGGGCUCCAGGCUUAAAAAGCUGCCUAGUGGCUGCAAGGAGACUCGGGCACAAGCCCUGGCACCUGGGGGAUGCCAGAGGGACCCUCUCAAGAGGCUGCUGGGCUCCAGAAGCUUCUAAUCGUGCUUGAGGGUGAGCCUUUCGAAGAGAUACUCGCCCAGCCCAGCCUGGGGGCCGGACAGCCUGCGGAGGUUCGUCAGGUGGUCGCCCAUCUUCUUGAUGAGUUUCACCUCCUCAUUUAGAAAGUGAUUCUCCAGAAGCAGGGCGGCUUCCAUGGCGUCGAGGGUGUUACCCCACUCAUCUUGGGACGGCUUCUGCACGUCCUGGAAGAGCCACAUCGUCAAGGUCGAAAUAGAAGCCCAGAGAGAGGUAGGUGUAGGAGGCCCGCAGAUGCGCGUUGACCAGGCGGCUGACGGCGGCCUCCACCUCGGUGGAAUAAUUCUGACGCAUCUGGGAGGUCAUGGCUGGUCGGUAACGAGGAGCUAAGUUCAAAAUCGGGUGUUGGCUGGUCCCGAAGGCAGACGGUGGGCAAGAAGAUGGCUUGAUUGACGUUGAUGUUGCGACUGGAAAGAAGGCUGGAGGGUGGUCAGAGGCUGGUAAUAGGGGCGUCCCUGGGUCUGUUCCGUCCAAACACUGUUGAAGCAAGAGACAGAGCCGCAGGACCACCGGGCACACUGCCUCUACUUUUUUAAAAGACCUUAUUUAUGAUCACAUAUCAAUUCCUG
rnacentral:lncRNA from 1 species